GCACUAAUGACCUGUAUUGACAUUCUGGAGGAAUCGUGAUAAUUUCUGCAGUGACAGAGCACUUUAUUCCAAGGAACAAAUGUAGAUGUCAUACUGGUUCUCCAGAACUACAUUUGUGAAAUGUCUGAGAAAUUCUGGAUUUCAGUCAGGCAUCUUCUGUCUCACCCCAAGGAGCCUGAGCCCAAC